GCCCCGGAUAAUUACGAGCCAGCAGCCGCGGUAAUGUCUAGGGUCCAAGCCUUGUCCGGAAUUUUUGGGGGUAAAGAGUUAGUAGGCGGUUUGUCGCUUGUGCCGUGAAAGCCCGGGGCUUAACCCCGGGUGUGCAGUGGGUACGGGCAGACUUGAGUGCAGUAGGGGAGACUGGAAUUCCUGGUGUAGCGGUGAAAUGCGCAGAUAUCAGGAGGAACACCGAUGGCGAAGGCAGGUCUCUGGGCUGUUACUGACGCUGAGGAGCGAAAGCAUGGGGAGCGAACAGGAUUAGAUACCCUGGUAGUCCAUGCCGUAAACGUUGGGCACUAGGUGUGGGGAACAUUCCACGUUUUCCGCGCCGUAGCUAACGCAUUAAGUGCCCCGCCUGGGGAGUACGGCCGCAAGGCUAAAACUCAAAGGAAUUGACGGGGGCCCGCACAAGCGGCGGAGCAUGCGGAUUAAUUCGAUGCAACGCGAAGAACCUUACCAAGGCUUGACAUACACCGGACCGGGCCAGAGAUGGUCUUUCCCCCUUGUGGGGCUGGUGUACAGGUGGUGCAUGGUUGUCGUCAGCUCGUGUCGUGAGAUGUUGGGUUAAGUCCCGCAACGAGCGCAACCCUCGUUCUAUGUUGCCAGCACGUGAUGGUGGGGACUCAUAGGAGACUGCCGGGGUCAACUCGGAGGAAGGUGGGGAUGACGUCAAAUCAUCAUGCCCCUUAUGUCUUGGGCUUCACGCAUGCUACAAUGGCCAGUACAAUGGGUUGCGAUGCCGCGAGGUGGAGCUAAUCCCAAAAAGCUGGUCUCAGUUCGGAUCGUGGUCUGCAACUCGACCACGUGAAGUCGGAGUCGCUAGUAAUCGCAGAUCAGCAACGCUGCGGUGAAUACGUUCCCGGGCCUUGUACACACC
rnacentral:rRNA from 1 species